AUACGGAGGGCGCAAGCGUUGUGCGGAAUCAUUGGGCGUAAAGCGCGUGUAGGCGGCUUGGCAAGUCGGGUGUGAAAGCCCGGGGCUCAACCCCGGAAAUGCAUUCGAAACUGCCUGGCUAGAGUUCCGGAGAGGAAGGCAGAAUUCCCGGUGUAGAGGUGAAAUUCGUAGAUAUCGGGAGGAAUACCAGUGGCGAAGGCGGCCUUCUGGACGGCAACUGACGCUGAGACGCGAAAGCGUGGGGAGCAAACAGGAUUAGAAACCCCAGUAGUCC
rnacentral:rRNA from 1 species